CCUAGCGAACGCAUAGACGAGAAGGAGUAACCUCUGGUUCCGUACAGACCACAGAACAUCUGCUGCCCUCUGAUACUUGAUCUUUUAAUGCAUUCGAACACUUUUUUUUUUCAGACUCUAUCUUUCAUGUUACGUAUACAUACUGCUCAAAACUCGCAUGCGAAUGUGUGUGCUUGGUUCAUGUAUUAAAUUUAGAUGUGGCAAUUUAUCUUCAAUUUGGCAGGUUAUCUUUAUCGACCGUCAAGGCAAGUGCUGUUAAACCGAAUACAUAACCCGUGAUAAUACCAGUAAUGAUAAUAAUAAUAAUGAUGAUUAGCACUCAGUCAUUUUGCUGCCGGAUGAAGGUGUCCAACGCGCAUGCCGUGUUGUUCGUGGGAGUUGACGGACCAUACUUCACCACGCUGAUGCAUGAAAUGCUGGAAAAUGCAGUUUUACUGCUGCAGUCAGAACACACGACGCCCUCCCUCUGCCCCCACACACCGACGAGGAAUAUUGAGGAUCGGAAAAGCUUUCGUGGCCUAAGCAAAGGACCACGCCGUGCAGCCUUGGCAGCUCCGGCUGGAGCCCCGUGGGUCCCGGUGCACGCUGGGAAGCUGCUUUGGCGCACAUGGACCGUGCCAGGCGGACGCGCAUCGCCCUUGGUGAAGCCGCAAAAUAAAGGGUUAAACAAAGCCGGCGAGAAAACAGUGAGAGAGAGAGGGGAAAAAACACCAGCUCACUCAACAAUAUCAAUCUUGCCAAGAGGAAGACAAAAGGAAAGGUCAGGCCCACUUGAGCGACGCAGUUAUUUUUUCCAGAAGCGACCUGGCCACAAGCGAUCGCUCACCGAAGUGGCUGAUUUUCACGUGAACAUCUUUAGCAGUCACCAGAUAAAGGCGUGAGGUUGAUUCUAAAU